GGGUCGCUAGCUCAGCUGGUUAGAGCGCAUCCCUGAUAAGGAUGAGGUCGCUGGUUCGAUCCCAGCGCGACCCACCA
rnacentral:tRNA from 1 species